rnacentral:rRNA from 1 species
GACGAACGCUGGCGGCGUGCUUAACACAUGCAAGUCGAACGAAGUGGAGAACGGGUGAGUAACGCGUAAUCAACCUGCCCUUCAGAGGGGGACAACAGUUGGAAACGACUGCUACUACCGCAUACUGAAGUGUGGUGUUGAGUCUGAUUAGCUGGUUGGAGGGGUAACGGCCCACCCAGGAGAUGAUAAGGAGCCGUGCUGAGAGGAUGAACGGCCACAUUGGUACUGAGACACGGCCCAGACUCCUACGGGAGGCAGCAGUGGGGAAUCUUCCGCAAUGGACGAAAGUCUGACGGAGCAACGCCGCGUGAGUGAUGACGGCCUUCUGGUUGUAAAGCUCUGUUAAUCGGGACGCGGUACCGGAAUAGAAAGCCACGGCUAACUACGUGCCAGCAGCCGCGGUAAUAC